rnacentral:rRNA from 1 species
ACUCCUACGGGAGGCAGCAGUGGGGAAUAUUGCACAAUGGGCGCAAGCCUGAUGCAGCCAUGCCGCGUGUGUGAAGAAGGCCUUGGGUUGUAAAGCACUUUCUAGUUGUGAGGAAGGUGGUGUCGUUAAUAGCGGCAUCAUUUGACGUUAGCAACAGAAGAAGCACCGGCUAACUCCGUGCCAGCAGCCGCGGUAAUACGGAGGGUGCGAGCGUUAAUCGGAAUUACUGGGCGUAAAGCGCAUGCAGGUGGUUUGUUAAGUCAGAUGUGAAAGCCCGGGGCGUCAACCUCGGAACUGCAUUUGAAACUGGCAGACUAGAGUACUGUAGAGGGGGUAGAAUUUCAGGUGUAGCGGUGAAAUGCGUAGAGAUCUGAAGGAAUACCGGUGGCGAAGGCGGCCCCUGGACAGAUACUGACACUCAGAUGCGAAAGCGUGGGAGCAAACAGGAUUAGAUACCCCUGGUAGCACAGAG